rnacentral:rRNA from 1 species
GCAGCAGGCACGCAAAUUACCCACUCCCGGCACGGGGAGGUAGUGACAAAAAAUAACGAUACGGGACUCAUCCGAGGCCCCGUAAUCGGAAUGAGAACACCCUAAAUCCUUUAACGAGGAUCUAUUGGAGGGCAAGUCUGGUGCCAGCAGCCGCGGUAAUUCCAGCUCCAAUAGCGUAUAUUAAAGUUGUUGCGGUUAAAAAGCUCGUAGUUGGUUCUGCGUGCCACGCUGUCGGUUCACCGCCUGCCGGUGCAACUGGCAUGCCGUGGCAUGUCCUGUCGGUGGCUGACAGGCUUCGCGGCGAGCUCCCGCUCGUUCAACACGUGUGGGUCGCUCCGCCGCGUUGUCCUUGUAGGCCGUCUCAAUCCUACCGCGGUGCUCUUUGCCGAGUGUCGAGGUAGGCCGACACUGUUUACUUUGAACAAAUUAGAGUGCUUCAAGCAGGCUCUGAAAGCAGCCUGAAUAGUGGUGCAUGGAAUAAURGAAYAGGACCUYGGUUCUAUUUUGUUGGUUUUCGGAAYCCMGAGGUAAUGAUUAAUAGGGACAGAUGGGGGCAUUCGUAUUGCGACGUUAGACUUGGCAAAUGCUUUCGCGGUGAAAUUCUUGGAUCGUCGCAAGACGAACAGAAGCGAAAGCAUUUGCCAAAAAUGUUUUCAUUAAUCAAGAACGAAAGUUAGAGGUUCGAAGGCGAUCAGAUACCGCCCUAGUUCUAACCAUAAACGAUGCCAGCUAGCGAUCCGCCGAAGUUCCUUAUAUGACUCGGCGGGCAGCUUCCGGGAAACCAAAGCUUUUGGGUUCCGGGGGAAGUAUGGUUGCAAAGCUGAAACUUAAAGGAAUUGACGGAAGGGCACCACCAGGAGUGGAGCCUGCGGCUUAAUUUGACUCAACACGGGAAACCUCACCAGGCCCGGACACUGGAAGGAUUGACAGAUUGAUAGCUCUUUCUUGAUUCGGUGGGUGGUGGUGCAUGGCCGUUCUUAGUUGGUGGAGCGAUU